rnacentral:rRNA from 1 species
GUGCCAGCAGCCGCGGUAAUACGGAGGGUGCGAGCGUUGUUCGGAAUUAUUGGGCGUAAAGCGCACGUAGGCGGCUUUGUAAGUCUCACUGUGAAAGCCCGGGGCUCAACCCCGGGACUGCAGGGGAUACUGCGAGGCUUGAGUCAAGUAGAGGUUGGUAGAAUUCCUUGUGUAGGAGUGAAAUCCGUAGAUAUAAGGAGGAAUACCGAUGGCGUAGGCAGGUAACUGGCUCGUCCCUGACACUAAGGCACGAAAGCGUGGGUAGCAAACGGG